GUGAGGAAUUUUCCGCAAUGGGCGAAAGCCUGACGGAGCAAUGCCGCGUGAAGGAUGAAGGCCUAUGGGUUGUAAACUUCUUUUCUUAGAGAAGAAUAUUGACGGUAUCUGAGGAAUAAGCAUCAGCUAACUCUGUGCCAGCAGCCGCGGUAAGACAGAGGAUGCAAGCGUUAUCCGGAAUGAUUGGGCGUAAAGCGUCUGUAGGUGGCUUCAAAAGUCUCCUGUCAAAGAUCAGGGCUUAACCCUGGGCCGGCAGGAGAAACUCUGAGGCUAGAGUUUGGUAGGGGCAGAGGGAAUUCCCGGUGGAGCGGUGAAAUGCGUAGAGAUCGGGAGGAACACCAAAGGCGAAAGCACUCUGCUGGGCCACAACUGACACUGAGAGACGAAAGCGAGGGGAGCAAAAGGGAUUAGAUACCCCUGUAGUCC
rnacentral:rRNA from 1 species